rnacentral:lncRNA from 1 species
ACAUCAUAACCAAGAAGUACAAGAUACAUUCCAUUGUCUGCAGACGCACGUACUCAGAGAAGAAACUGAAUAUUCCAUCCAGCAGCUCUACAGUUUACAUCCCUUGCCAAAGCAUGCUGAAAUUACUCCCCAGUUCUACAUUCACAGCAAGGAAUUCGCUGAUAUUUUUUCGAAAUGUGGUAGAUUAGUCAAGGCCAAACCAUCCAGAUCAAGUUGGCAGCAAA